rnacentral:rRNA from 1 species
UACAGAGGUGGCAAGCGUUGUUCGGAAUUACUGGGCGUAAAGCGCGCGUAGGCGGCUUUGUAAGUUAGAGGUGAAAGCCCGGAGCUCAACUCCGGAACUGCCUUUAAGACUGCAUCGCUAGAAUUGUGGAGAGGUGAGUGGAAUUCCGAGUGUAGAGGUGAAAUUCGUAGAUAUUCGGAAGAACACCAGUGGCGAAGGCGACUCACUGGACACAUAUUGACGCUGAGGUGCGAAAGCGUGGGGAGCAAACAGG